rnacentral:rRNA from 1 species
GUUAUAGGGUCAAGCGAACAAGUGCAUGUGGUGGAUGCCUUGGCGAUCACAGGCGAUGAAGGACGCGGUAGCCUGCGAAAAGCUACGGGGAGCUGGCAAACGAGCUUUGAUCCGUAGAUGUCCGAAUGGGGAAACCCACUCCUUUUGGAGUAUCCAUGGCUGAAUACAUAGGCCAUGUGAAGCGAACGCGGUGAACUGAAACAUCUAAGUAACCGCAGGAAAAGAAAUCAACCGAGAUUCCCAAAGUAGUGGCGAGCGAAAUGGGAUGAGCCUUGCACUCUUUAUUUGUAUUGUUAGCCGAACGC